GAUGAAGAACGCAGCGAAAUGCGAUACGUAAUGUGAAUUGCAGAAUUCAGUGAAUCAUCGAAUCUUUGAACGCAUAUUGCGCUCUCUGGUAUUCCGGAGAGCAUGCUUGUUUGAGUAUCAGUAAACACCUCAACUCCCUUUUCUUUUUUGAAAUUGGAGCUGGACUUGAGUGAUCCCAACGCUUUCUUCCAAGAAAGUGGCGGGUUGCUUGAAAUGCAGGUGCAGCUGAACUUUUCUCUGAGCUAUAAGCAUAUCUAUUUAGUCUGCCUAAAAAACAGAUUAUUACCUUUGCUGCAGCUAACAUAAAGGAGACUAGUUCUUGUGCUGACUGAUGCAGGAUUCACAGAGACAGCUUCGGCUGACUUUGUAAACUCGAUCUCAAAUCAAGUAAGACUACCCGCUGAACUUAAGCAUAUAAAUAAGCGGAGGA
rnacentral:misc_RNA from 1 species